rnacentral:tRNA from 1 species
GGAUAUAUAGCUCAGUGGUAGAGCAUGUGCCUGGCAUGCAUGAGGUCCUGGGUUCAACCCCCAGUGCCUCCA